CGCUCCUGCUCUCACCCAUCUGUUCUCGCUUAUUUUAAAGCAGCCCUGCUUCACAGGUGUAGUGUGUCACCAAUUAGGAAAACACCUUAAAUUGGAAACCUGGGAGAACGGGAGCUCUGACUUACGCUCCCUACAGCCUGCACUACUGGAGACGCUUCUGAAGGACCUCCUUUCAGCUUCACAACUUCAGAAACACAAGAUACAUACCGUGGGGAAAGACGUUACCAGAAGUUCUCUGCGACGGUUCGAUGGGAGCACGAGCUGCGUGUUGAGUCAAGUUCUGAACUUCUGAACUGUCUCUCACAGAUGAUGAAGGUGGGCUUUAUCUGCUGCCGAAGCGCGAAUGAACAGGAUGUGGCAAAAAGUUUCUUUGGCUUAAUAGAACUGGAGGGCUGGGAACCUAAUGAUGACCCACGGCUCACGCUGCAGGGAGGAACACGCCAAAUGUCGUAGCUGUGGAUUUUUAUCUCUUACUAAGCUGUUUGAUGAUCUGACAAUGGACGAGUACUACAUGCUGGAGAUGAUGUGGCUAAGAACCUUCCUGGUAAGUGCAAAACCGGCAGAAGUGUAAUAUGCCUUUGAAGAAGAAGUUGCUGUGACUAGGAAGCGUCUCGUAGAUAACUUAGUCUCCAAACAUCGAUAUACCCCACGGGCACCGGCACCCGUCGCAGCCGAUCAGACUUGCCAACCUUCUGAAAGCUCAUAGGAUGAGUCCAGAAGUUGAAUAUGACUCUGACUUUUUUUUCUAUUUAUACGGUAAAAAUAUUUUUAUUCUGGUGCAAAUGCUAAUAUUAAGCUGAAUGGCAGUUUGAGGAAGUGCAGAGGAUUUCUUUAUAGGCUUUCUAGA